CCAAUUUUGUCAAUUCAGGGUUUCUACAGUCAGAACAAAACUUGAUUGUCACUUACUUCUAAGAGGCUUUCCAGAAUCUGUCCCUUUUGUCUUAAGAGGCUUCGUGCACAACCUAGUGAGCCUUUGAUAUAAAACCUGGGGAUAUUGGGGGAGUUUUUCCUCUGAUCUCUUAAUCUCAAAUAGGACAGCCUAAUUGGAGCUAAACCAGACAAAGCUCUCAUAGUGUCUACCCUCUGAGCUAAACAAGGAUAAUCUGCUGAAGGAAUGAGGAUUUCAAGGGCCCAGGCGCAAUGAAGUGGCUAACAUUUGUCACUGUCCAACAUGCCCUUUCUCCCCGCUGUGCUGACCUGCAGUUCAGCCUCGGCCCUGGAGGGCAAGGGAAGCGAAAAGACCUUUGAAGUGAAACGGAUCCCCACCAGCCUCAGUGCUUUAACAAAGUUGCAGCUCAAAGCUCUGAGAUGGAAAGAGACAUGAGAGUCCCAACUCCAUCGUCAAGUUUGCUGAUGACACAGUAGUGAUAGGCCGGAUCUAGUGCUGUGGAAAACAUCCUAAGAGGGGGCAUCACUAACUAAGAUGGAAACUGCUCUGCUCAGGACCAUAGAGCCCUAUAGAGAGUGGUUCACUUGGCUGUUCUGUACGCUCACAGACAAACUGGCCGUCAGGAUGGUGAAUGCUGUCCUCUGACCUCUGUACUGUAUAUCGGCGUGGUCUAGCACAUUGUCUUAAGCAAACCUUUGCACUACCCGGUGCACUGCAUUUU